GACGAACGCUGGCGGCGUGCUUAACACAUGCAAGUCGAGCGGUAAGGCCCUUUCGGGGGUAUACGAGCGGCGAACGGGUGAGUAACACGUGGGUGACCUGCCCUCAGCUCUGGGAUAAGCCUGGGAAACCGGGUCUAAUACUGGAUAUGACUCCAUGACGCAUGUUGUGGGGUGGAAAGCCUUGUGCGGCUGAGGAUGGGCCCGCGGCCUAUCAGCUUGUUGGUGGGGUGANGGCCUACCAAGGCGACGACGGGUAGCCGGCCUGAGAGGGCGACCGGCCACACUGGGACUGAGACACGGCCCAGACUCCUACGGGAGGCAGCAGUGGGGAAUCUUGCGCAAUGGGCGAAAGCCUGACGCAGCGACGCCGCGUGAGGGAUGACGGCCUGGUGUAACU
rnacentral:rRNA from 1 species